GGACCGUGGCUCAAAAGUAGAGCGUUUUACUCAAUUUCAAAAGGUCGUGGGUUCGAAUCCCAGGUGGUUCA
rnacentral:tRNA from 1 species